rfam:Gossypium hirsutum cultivar TM-1 chromosome 17, whole genome shotgun sequence
GGUGAUAUGGCCGAGCGGUAAGGCGGGGGACUGCAAUCCCUUAUUCCCCAUUUCAAAUUCGGGUGUCGCCU